GGGGCUUCCCAGAGGAGUACAGCUAACUCCAGGGGAACCACAUAGAACCUUGUCUGCAUCAACAUCCUUAUCACCACCAACUGCCCAAGGACUGCUAUGUACAGCAGAGCCCCCCGAUAUGUCCUAGAGCCGACUCAUACCCUUAGGCUGCCCUAAAAAUGGCCAAGAGUCCAUGGAUCAAACAGAAGAACCCAGCCCAUCCCAAGAAAGGUGACUCGACUCAACCUACCAACCUAUUCAGCCAGAAGAAUUCCUUUUCAGAAGCAGAUUGGGAAACCAAUGUUUUCCCGCUGUGGAACUAUCACUUUCACCUUUCCAAGAGGACUCUGACAAAAGUUGCUAACCCACUCUUCAGAACCUUUGAAAUUCAUCUUCCUAACUGAAGGGAGGUUUUCCAUUGGGAAAAAAAUGGUUCAUUCAAAAUAAGAAUAAAUGGGUUCGGCGUCGGCGUCGCUCCGCGCGGCGGGGCUCUAGGCCGAGGUCUCACCGCGAGCUGCGGGUGAAGCGCUGGCAGCUAAGAGCACGCGAGGAGGCGCCACCCGUUUGGCGUUGGUUUUGGCUCCGGCGUCGUUGUGUCCUGACAACCGCUCCGGUAACCGGUUCCGAGACAGUGGGUGCGGCCGCUUUAGCCCUGAGCGGGCUCCACAGCUGCCUGCGGGUCUCUGCUAGUGCCGGACCCUUUCGUAGCAGACCCUAGGCCGAGCUGCGACCCUGAGCCAAGAGAGGGAGCCCCGGCAAUGGCGGCCUGGACAACCUCGCACCGGUCAAUCAAGGGGAUCCUGAAGAACAACUUCCUCUAUGGUGGCGUCUGCCGAACAGCCCCACGGGAGUGUGGACUAGGAGCUGAACAAAAAAUCCCGGAAGUGGGAUGAAAUGAACAUCCUGGCAACAUAUCAUCCAGCAGACAAAGAUUACGGUUUAAUGAAAACAGAUGAACCAAGCACUUCUUCCCAUCGUAUUAUGGGUGAUGAUGAAGAUGCAUGUAGUGAUACAGACACCACUGAAAACAUGGCACCAGAUAUCUUAGCUAAGAAAUUAGCUGCUGCUGAAGGCGUGGAACCAAAGUAUCGGGUUCAGGAACAAGACAACAGUGGAAAGGAGGAUAGUAACCUCUCACCUGAAGAACAAGAAACAAAAGUGACAAUUUGAAAUGAAAAGGAAGCUUCAUUACAAUGAAAGACUCAAUAUCAAACUAGCUAGACAGUUUCAAAAAACCUACGUGAUGAUGACGAAGAUGAAAAAAUGUUAGAGACUGCAGAUGGAGAAAGCAUGAACACGGAGGAAUCAAAUCAAGGAUCUACUGCAAGUGACCAAGAUUGGUUCAACGCUGUAAUUGUUUGUUAGAUAUAAACCCUGUUACUAUAAUUGCUUCUUGUUCUCCACAAUUCAUGACUUAAGUACCAAAAUGCAUACCAGUUAUUAUAUACUGCCAAAAAUUAAAUGAUAAACUUAGAGACUGAUUAGACUGAAAAUGCCUAAUAGAUGUAUAUAUUCUUGUGCCUAGUACUUUACCACCAAUACAGUGUAAUAUCAUCGGUCCAAAAUUGCAUUAAUUUUGUAAAUACACUGGUUAAUUUGUAUUAGAUAUUAUAUAGCUUUUAUGCUUUAGAGGUUAAACAAUAUAUUUGGGGGAAACUAUUUUCAUCACUCUAAAUGUGGUGGUAGCUCUUAUAAAGUUUGUCGGCUUUUUUUUUUUUAAUCAAAAGCCAACUGAACAACAGGACAUAUAGACUGAUAAAUAUUCAGGCUGAAUAGUAUUUUAACACUUGUCUUCAACUUCAUUUGUCUGUUUAAUUGAAAAGGAUUAUAAGAGUUACCGUUGCAUUUUCUGGCCUACUACCUUUAAAACUCCUGUUGUGUUUCUUUGUAUUUACAAGGAAAGGACUGAACUUUUUCUCAUCAAAACUGGCUUUUUUCCCACAAAUAAAUUAUCAGGUUAAACUUGCACUAAUGUCUGCUCUGUUUUUUGUUUUGGUUUUUUCUGUUUUAUGUUUUUGGUACACUGGGCAGACUUCAGAGCAACUUUUUUUCAAUAAAUAUUCUAAAGUAGCUAUCUCGGCAUUCCCUUUAAAUACCUGUCUUAACCUCCUGCUUUUAUUUCUUACUCCUUUCCACACAUACGCACACAAUCCUUUACCUUUUAAAGGAUCAUUAAGAUUACAUUAGGAACUCUUUCUGUCACUCUUCUGUGAUUUGCUGCAAUAUUGAAAUUCUUAUUUUGACCAUCACUGCCUAUUCAUUCUUCUAAUACAUGAAGAAAAUAGAUUAAGUAGCAGCAGUACUAUAGGCAGGAAAUACAGUUUAACUGCUAAAUUUCUAUACCUCUCUGAUUUACAGCUUGCUAAUUAAAUUGCUAUUAUUAGUUUGUUUGGCUUAGACUUAAGAAAACAACUAACUGAGGGUUUUUUUGUUUUCUGGGUUUUUUGUGGUUUUUUUUUUGGCAUGAGGAGAGAAUUGUGGGUAACCAGUGAUAUGAUUAUUACUGAAUGUACAGACAGAAGUAAGCCUGGACAUUGUUUAAUUUAAAAACUUUAAACAGUCACUGCCUUAAGGGAAUAUUAUAAUAUAUACUAUGACAAAUGUACAUUAUUCUUCUACACAGUAAGAAUUACUUGGAAUAUUUUCCUGAAAUGAAGUGCAGGAAAGCCCUGUGUGUCUUGGUUUAGUGAUGGUUUCAUUUCUAGCCAAUUAUUUGUAUCUUAAUUUUUUGUUAGUACCAAAAUAAUCUGUUAUAUGAACAGACUUUUAAAAUAAUUUCUGUAUACUAUAUAUAUAAGAAAGCUUUUAUUAAACAGCUUAUCUUCCACUUGCAAGUUUAUGGAAAUAUCAGUAUGUCAAAAUAAAUAAAAAGUGAGAGAA